AUUAUUAAUUUUUAUAGCAUAAUUUUUCGGAAAAUGGCCAAUUUUAUAUAUAUCACAGAUCAUAUUUAAGCGAUUCUUUUCAGUUAUUUUUUAAAAUAAUUGGCCUUCAAAAUUAGAAUGUGUUCACUGCAAUAAAUUUGUAUAAAUCCAUCAAAGGAAUACUCUAUUGCUGAAUUAUUAAUAAAAACUAUGAAAACUUAAUUUGCAAUAAUUUAUUACGACCAUUUUUGAAGAAAGUUAAAAGAACAACGAAGAGGACUUUCGAAUCCAGAUUCAGCAAUGGGGUCCCCAUGUGAAGAUUUUAACGCCACGCCUUUUCCAGGGCAGAUGAUGGAUUUUCCUUCAACGCCCACAAGUUCCAAUUUUGAUAGUUCAUUUUGCUCAGAUUUUGGAGGACCCAUUACUUCAACACCAAAU